GAGUUUGAUCCUGGCUCAGGACGAACGCUGGCGGCGUGCCUAAUACAUGCAAGUCGAACGCACGAAGUUGAAGAGCUUGCUCUUUAACCAAGUGAGUGGCGGACGGGUGAGUAACACGUGGGUAACCUGCCCAUUAGAGGGGGAUAACAUUCGGAAACGGAUGCUAAUACCGCAUAGUUUCAGGAAUCGCAUGAUUCUUGAAGGAAAGGUGGCUUCGGCUACCACUAAUGGAUGGACCCGCGGCGUAUUAGCUAGUUGGUGAGGUAAUGGCUCACCAAGGCAAUGAUACGUAGCCGACCUGAGAGGGUGAUCGGCCACACUGGGACUGAGACACGGCCCAGACUCCUACGGGAGGCAGCAGUAGGGAAUCUUCCGCAAUGGACGAAAGUCUGACGGAGCAACGCCGCGUGAGUGAAGAAGGUUUUCGGAUCGUAAAACUCUGUUGUUAAAGAAGAACAAGGAUGAGAGUAACUGCUCAUCCCCUGACGGUAUUUAACCAGAAAGCCACGGCUAACUACGUGCCAGCAGCCGCGGUAAUACGUAGGUGGCAAGCGUUGUCCGGAUUUAUUGGGCGUAAAGCGAGCGCAGGCGGUUCUUUAAGUCUGAUGUGAAAGCCCCCGGCUCAACCGGGGAGGGUCAUUGGAAACUGGAGAACUUGAGUGCAGAAGAGGAGAGUGGAAUUCCACGUGUAGCGGUGAAAUGCGUAGAUAUGUGGAGGAACACCAGUGGCGAAGGCGACUCUCUGGUCUGUAACUGACGCUGAGGCUCGAAAGCGUGGGGAGCA
rnacentral:rRNA from 1 species